CGCGUGGGUAACCUGCCUCAUACAGGGGGAGUAACAGUUAGAAAUGACUGCUAAUACCGCAUAAGACCACAGCACCGCAUGGUGCAGGGGUAAAAACUCCGGUGGUAUGAGAUGGACCCGCGUCUGAUUAGUUAGUUGGUGGGGUAACGGCCUACCAAGGCGGCGAUCAGUAGCCGACCUGAGAGGGUGACCGGCCACAUUGGGACUGAGACACGGCCCAAACUCCUACGGGAGGCAGCAUG
rnacentral:rRNA from 1 species